UUUUAGCCCCGAUGGAGGCGGUAUCCUUUUUAUGGCUUUUUCUGCCAUAAAAAGAUAAAGCCGAGAGCGGGAUUAGCU
rnacentral:sRNA from 2 species